rnacentral:rRNA from 1 species
CCUACGGGUGGCUGCAGUGAGGAAUAUUGGUCAAUGGACGCAAGUCUGAACCAGCCAAGUAGCGUGCAGGAUGACGGCCCUCCGGGUUGUAAACUGCUUUUAGUUGGGAAUAAAAGGGGGCUCGUGAGCCCCGUAUUGUAUGUACCAUCAGAAAAACGACCGGCUAAUUCCGUGCCAGCAGCGGCGGUAAUACGGAGGGUCCGGGCGUUAGCCGGAUUUAUUGGGUGUAAAGGGAGCGUAGGCCGGCUUUUAAGUCAGCUGUGAAAGUCCGCGGCUCAACCGUGGAAUUGCAGUUGAAACUGGAGGCCUGGAGUGCACACAGGGAUGCCGGAAUUCAUGGUGUAGCGGUGAAAUGCUUAGAUAUCAUGAAGAACUCCGAUCGCGAAGGCAAGUGUCCGGGGUGCAACUGACGCUGAGGCUCGAAAGCGUGGGGAGCAAACAGGAUUAGAUACCCCAGUAGUC